GAAAAAGGAAGGCGGAGAGUGAAGGAAUGCCUCUCUGAAAACCCAAGGAGUCUGGAGCGCAGGAACGAAGGAAGUCUGCCCCAGAAACGUCCACUCCCUUUACUAACAUUAGAGCCUACUUCAGGACUCCAGUGUAUACAGAAGACCAGCUGAGACAGCCAGCCUUGGAGACUGACUACUGGAUUCUUAGACUUUCAUGGCCAGCCAUUGUUGGGUUAGCUGGACCACAGCCUCAAUAGAAAAAUAGUAAUACAACCAGGAUGGCCUCAAAUUUGCAUCAAAUCUCCCGCCUCUGCCACCUGAGUGUGACCCUGUAGUUGUGAGCCCCAACACAUGGCUACUGUCGGAGAAUGUGUGUUUCUUUUCUUUCUGACGGUUGGGGAUUGAACCUUGGGCCUGUGCUUACACGUGUUCUACAACUCAGAAGAAACACAUCUUUAGAUCAUCAUGGAAGAAAUCACCAAAGACUUCACAGGAUAAGGAAGAAAGCUGCCCAAAAGGCUCCAGAUGAAUGGUCAGGUGUCAAAUGCCCUUUUAUUUAUAAUGGUUUUGAGUUUCUUGAUAUCGGCCCUUUUCAUUUGGCCUAAGCUGGCCUUGGCUUCAAACUCUAUUCUUCUGCCUUAGUGUCCCAAGGGAUUUCUUACGGAUUAUAGGAAUAUUCUACCAUGCCUUCUUAAAUAUUUUCUUGACUGAAUUUGGAAAGAAAACAAGAUGUUAUUCAAUAAAGG